AGUGAACGCUGGCGGUAGGCCUAACACAUGCAAGUCGAACGGCAGCACAGUAAGAGCUUGCUCUUACGGGUGGCGAGUGGCGGACGGGUGAGGAAUACAUCGGAAUCUACUUUUUCGUGGGGGAUAACGUAGGGAAACUUACGCUAAUACCGCAUACGACCUACGGGUGAAAGCAGGGGAUCUUCGGACCUUGCGCGAUUGAAUGAGCCGAUGUCGGAUUAGCUAGUUGGCGGGGUAAAGGCCUACCAAGGCGACGAUCCGUAGCUGGUCUGAGAGGAUGAUCAGCCACACUGGAACUGAGACACGGUCCAGACUCCUACGGGAGGCAGCAGUGGGGAAUAUUGGACAAUGGGCGCAAGCCUGAUCCAGCCAUACCGCGUGGGUGAAGAAGGCCUGCGGGUUGUAAAGCCCUUUUGUUGGGAAAGAAAAGCAGCAGGUUAAUACCCCGCUGUUCUGACGGUACCCAAAGAAUAAGCACCGGCUAACUUCGU
rnacentral:rRNA from 1 species